rnacentral:rRNA from 1 species
CCUACGGGAGGCAGCAGUGAGGAAUAUUGGUCAAUGGACGAGCGUCUGAACCAGCCAAGUAGCGUGAAGGAUGACUGCCCUAUGGGUUGUAAACUUCUUUUAUAUGGGAAUAAAACGUUCCACGUGUGGGAUUUUGUAUGUACCAUAUGAAUAAGGAUCGGCUAACUCCGUGCCAGCAGCCGCGGUAAUACGGAGGAUCCGAGCGUUAUCCGGAUUUAUUGGGUUUAAAGGGAGCGUAGGUGGAUUGUUAAGUCAGUUGUGAAAGUUUGCGGCUCAACCGUAAAAUUGCAGUUGAAACUGGCAGUCUUGAGUACAGUAGAGGUGGGCGGAAUUCGUGGUGUAGCGGUGAAAUGCUUAGAUAUCACGAAGAACUCCGAUUGCGAAGGCAGCUCACUGGACUGCAACUGACACUGAGGCUCGAAAGUGUGGGUAUCGAACAGGAUUAGAUACCCUUGUAGUC